rnacentral:rRNA from 1 species
GACGAACGCUGGCGGCGUGCCUAACACAUGCAAGUCGAACGGGGAGUUACUUGUAACUCCUAGUGGCGAACGGGUGAGUAACGCGUAGACAACCUGCCUCUAAAUUGGGGACAACACUGCGAAAGUGGUGCUAAUACCGAAUGUGGUAACUUGGUCGCAUGACUAGGUUAAGAAAGACGGCCUCUAUUUAUAAGCUAUCGAUUAGAGAUGGGUCUGCGUCUGAUUAGCUAGUUGGUGGGGUAAUGGCUCACCAAGGCGACGAUCAGUAGCCGGUCUGAGAGGAUGAACGGCCACACUGGGACUGAGACACGGCCCAGACUCCUACGGGAGGCAGCAGUGGGGAAUCUUCCGCAAUGGACGAAAGUCUGACGGAGCAACGCCGCGUGAGUGAAGAAGGUCUUCGGAUUGUAAAGCUCUGUCGUUUGGGACGAACGUGCUUUGUGUGAAUAAUGCAAGGUAAUGACGGUACCAAAGGAGGAAGCCACGGCUAACUACGUGUCAGCCGCCGCCGUAACAC